GACGAACGCUGGCGGUGUGCUUAACACAUGCAAGUCGAACGGUAAGGCCCUUUCGGGGGUACACGAGUGGCGAACGGGUGCGUAACACGUGAGUAACCUGCCCUCAUCUCUGGGAUAACAGUCGGAAACGGUUGCUAAUACUGGAUAUGAGCUUGCAAGGCAUCUUGUGGGUUGGAAAGAUUUUUUUUGGUUGGGGAUGGACUCGCGGCCUAUCAGCUUGUUGGUGAGGUAGUGGCUCACCAAGGCUUCGACGGGUAGCCGGCCUGAGAGGGCGACCGGCCACAUUGGGACUGAGAUACGGCCCAAACUCCGACGGGAGGCAGCAGUGGGGAAUAUUGCACAAUGGACGGAAGUCUGAUGCAGCAACGCCGCGUGCGGGAUGACGGCCUUCGGGUUGUAAACCGCUUUCAAUUGUGACGAAGCUUUUUUGUGACGGUAGCAGUAGAAGAAGCACCGGCUAACUACGUG
rnacentral:rRNA from 1 species